rnacentral:rRNA from 1 species
UACGGAGGGUGCAAGCGUUAUCCGGAUUCACUGGGUUUAAAGGGUGCGUAGGCGGGCAGGUAAGUCCGUGGUGAAAUCUCUGAGCUUAACUCAGAAACUGCCAUGGAUACUAUUUGUCUUGAAUAUUGUGGAGGUGAGCGGAAUAUGUCAUGUAGCGGUGAAAUGCUUAGAUAUGACAUAGAACACCCAUUGCGAAGGCAGCUCGCUACACUAUCAUUGACACUGAGGCACGAAAGCGUGGGGAUCAAACAGG